UUUCUUUCCUGAAAUCCUGGUUUGGCUUGUGCUGAAGGAUUUUCUAGAAAGUACUCUGCUGUGCUUCACAGUGGCUAAUCAACAAGGAUCUCCCUGAAACCCAGAGCUGUUUUGACUGCUAUUAUAACCAAAAUCACAGCUCAGGAGCUUGGUGCUGUCACCUCCUGGGAAUGCAUCAGCUUGGGGAACACAAGGCAGUGCCUAUUGGCAGGGGAAAAACAAAGCAGCAAGUGGACUAAAAUGUGGAGAAAUGCUACUUCAAUACCACAUAAACAUUUCUGUAACCUUAAAAGUUUUGUUAGAAGAAACUACGGAUAUUAUCUGUUCAACUUUCUGCUUGAAGAAGGACCAGCACCAGGGCAUGUCAGCUGUGGUUUUGUCACUGAGACUGGAAAAACUCUAGUGACAGAGUUAUCAAUCCUGUAUUUUGUCCGAGAUUAUUAAAGAGAAAAGUAGUU